GACGAACGCUGGCGGCGUGCCUAAUACAUGCAAGUCGAACGAGAGCAACCGGUGCUUGCACUGGUCAAUCUAGUGGCGAACGGGUGAGUAACACGUGGGUAACCUGCCCAUCAGAGGGGGAUAACAUCCGGAAACGGAUGCUAAAACCGCAUAGGUCUUCGAACCGCAUGGUUUGAAGAGGAAAGGAGGCGCAAGCUUCUGCUGAUGGAUGGACCCGCGGUGCAUUAGCUAGUUGGUGAGGUAACGGCUCACCAAGGCCGUGAUGCAUAGCCGACCUGAGAGGGUGAUCGGCCACAUUGGGACUGAGACACGGCCCAAACUCCUACGGGAGGCAGCAGUAGGGAAUCUUCCGCAAUGGACGCAAGUCUGACGGAGCAACGCCGCGUGAGUGAAGAAGGUUUUCGGAUCGUAAAACUCUGUUGUUAGAGAAGAACAAGUGCUAGAGUAACUGUUAGCGCCUUGACGGUAUCUAACCAGAAAGCCACGGCUAACUACGUG
rnacentral:rRNA from 1 species